rnacentral:rRNA from 1 species
AAUUCCAGCUCCAAUAGUGUAUAUUAGAGUUGUUGCAGUUAAAAAGCUCGUAGUUGGAUUUCUGCUGUGGUCAUCCGGUACCGCCCGUACGGGUGCGCACCUGGUCUGGCUGCGGCUUUCUUCCUGUAGCCAUCCGCGCUUAAUUGCGUGUGUUGUGUUGCGGAACUUUUACUUUGAGAAAAAUAGAGUGUUUCAAGCAGGCUUGUCGCCCUGAAUACUUCAGCAUGGAAUAAUAGGAUAGGACCUUGGUUCUAUUUUGUUGGUUUCUAGGACCAAGGUAAUGAUUAAUAGGGACAGUUGGGGGCAUUCGUAUUUAACUGUCAGAGGUGAAAUUCUUAGAUUUGUUAAAGACGAACUACUGCGAAAGCAUUUGCCAAGGAUGUUUUCAUUAAUCAAGAACGACAGUAGGGGGUUUGAAGACGAUUAGAUACCGUCGUAAUCUCUACCAUAAACUAUGCCGACUAGAGAUAGGGAAACGCCUACCUUGGCUUCUCCUG